GUGAGAGGACUUUCAGGUGUGAUCACUGUGAUGCUACUUUCAAAAGAAAGGACACAUUAAAUGUUCAUAUUCAAGUUGUACACGACGGACAUAAGAAAUACAAGUGUGAUCUCUGUGACAAAGCUUUUGUGACGCCCUCAGUCCUGAAGAGUCAUAAAAAAACUCACACAGGAGAAAAAGAGAAGAUUUGCCCAUAUUGCGGACAGAAGUUUGCAAGCAAUGGAACACUGAGAGUUCAUAUUCGAAGCCAUACAGGUGAGCGUCCUUACCAGUGUCCUUACUGUGACAAAGCUUUCAGCAAGAAUGAUGGAUUGAAGAUGCAUAUUCGCACCCACACAAGGGUAA